GUGGGGAAUCUUGCGCAAUGGGCGAAAGCCUGACGCAGCAACGCCGCGUGCGGGAAGAAGGCCCUCGGGUUGUAAACCGCUUUCAGAAGGAACGAAACUGACGGUACUUUCAGAAGAAGGUGCGGCCAACUACGUGCCAGCAGCCGCGGUGACACGUAGGCACCAAGCGUUGUCCGGAUUUAUUGGGCGUAAAGAGCUCGUAGGCGGUUCGAUAAGUCGGGUGUGAAAACUUUGGGCUCAACCCAAAGCGUGCAUUCGAUACUGUUGUGACUAGAGUUCGGUAGGGGAGUGGGGAAUUCCUAGUGUAGCGGUGAAAUGCGCAGAUAUUAGGAGGAACACCGGUGGCGAAGGCGCCACUCUGGGCCGAAACUGACGCUGAGGAGCGAAAGCGUGGGUAGCAAACAGGAUUAGAUACCCGGGUAGUCC
rnacentral:rRNA from 1 species